GGAUCAUUACCGAGUUUUCGGGCUUCGGCUCGACUCUCCCACCCUUUGUGAACGUACCUCUGUUGCUUUGGCGGCUCCGGCCGCCAAAGGACCUCCAAACUCCAGUCAGUAAACGCAGACGUCUGAUAAACAAGUUAAUAAACUAAAACUUUCAACAACGGAUCUCUUGGUUCUGGCAUCGAUGAAGAACGCAGCGAAAUGCGAUAAGUAAUGUGAAUUGCAGAAUUCAGUGAAUCAUCGAAUCUUUGAACGCACAUUGCGCCCCUUGGUAUUCCGGGGGGCAUGCCUGUUCGAGCGUCAUUACAACCCUCAAGCUCUGCUUGGAAUUGGGCACCGUCCUCACUGCGGACGCGCCUCAAAGACCUCGGCGGUGGCUGUUCAGCCCUCAAGCGUAGUAGAAUACACCUCGCUUUGGAGUGGUUGGCGUCGCCCGCCGGACGAACCUUCUGAACUUUUCUCAAGGUUGACCUCGGAUCAGGUAGGGAUACCCGCUGAACUUAAGCAUAUCAAUAAGCGGAGGAAA
rnacentral:rRNA from 1 species